GGUUCGGGGCGAGGAAGGGGGCAGGGAAUGGGACAGGGAUGGGCUGGCUGGUUUGGGGCGAGGAAGGGGGCAGGGAAGGGGGCAGGGACGGGCUGGCUGGAAGGGGGCAGGGAAUGGGGCAGGGACGGGCUGGCUGGUUCGGGGCGAGGAAGGGGGCAGGGAAUGGGGCAGGGAUGGGCUGGCUGGUUCGGGGGCGGGGAAGGGGGCAGGGAAUGGGGUAGGGAUGGGCUGGCUGGUUCGGGGCGAGGAAGGGGUCAGGGACGGGCUGGCUGGUUCGGGGCGAGGAAGGGGGCAGGGAAUGGGGCAGGGACGGGCUGGCUGGUUCGGGGCGAGGAAGGGGGCAGGGACAGGCUGGCUGGAAGGGGGCAGGGAAUGGGGCAGGGACGGGCUGGCUGGUUCGGGGCGAGGAAGGGGGCAGGGACAGGCUGGCUGGUUCGGGGCGAGGAAGGGGGCAGGGAAUGGGGCAGGGACGGGCUGGCUGGUUCGGGGCGAGGAAGGGGGCAGGGAAUGGGGCAGGGACGGGCUGGCUGGUUCGGGGGCGGGGAAGGGGGCAGGGAAUGAGGUAGGGAUGGGCUGGCUGGUUCGGGGCGAGGAAUGGGGCAGGGACGGGCUGGCUGGUUCGGGGCGAGGAAGGGGGCAGGGAAUGGGGCAGGGACGGGCUGGCUGGUUCGGGGCGAGGAAGGGGGCAGGGAAUGGGGCAGGGAUGAGCUGGCUGGUUCGGGGCGAGGAAGGGGGCAGGGACGGGCUGGCUGGUUCGGGGCGAGGAAGGGGGCAGGGAAUGGGGCAGGGACGGGCUGGCUGGUUCAGGGCGAGGAAGGGGGCAGGGAAUGGGGCAGGGACGGGCUGGCUGGUUCGGGGCGAGGAAGGGGGCAGGGCUGAGGUGCGAACUGGGUCAGGCCUGGGCCCGGCUGUUACAUCAGUGGGGCGGGCGCGGGGGCCGCUGUAGGUCAGGGCUUGGGGCCAACUAGGGCACUCAGCUGGGCGGGGGGGCAGGCUUGAGGCUGGUGCUGGGAGUGGGGGGCACAUGCCGGGCAGGGGCAAGGACCCCCCUGCUAACCCCUCUUGCCCCACAUCGCCCAGCUCCCCCAUGCCCCCCACUCAGACCCCCAGGGGUGUGGUACGUGGGGGGGGAGCUGCCCCCAGCCCGGUCCCCUAUAGAUAGCCCCAGUGGAGCCUUAAUUGCUAAUUAGGGCUAACGAAGGGAUCAGGGAGGAUUAAGGAGGGGCUGGUUCGGCUGGGCAUCCCCUCACAGUGGGGGAGGGAGCGAGGGCAGGACCCCUAUAUACCCCCAA